CUUCCACCUUUAUAUUCUCCCAUCCUUAUCUUUUUUCUCUGCUUCUCAUCUUCUUCCUGCUUCUCAUUUUCUCUAAUAGAGCUAGCUUUACGUUCCUUGCCAGAGGGCAUUCUACUUACAGAAAGUAAGAUCUCAUAAAGCUCUGAUAACUCUCUUUCCAGGUUUCCAUUUUCUUUGUUCUGCAACUUUCUUUGUAACUUUUCCACAAAAAAGCUUGUUACUAAGUUUCCAAUGGCUUCCACUAGCUCCGAAACACCUUCUUUAUCAUUGACAUCAUCUUCUUCUUCAAUUCCUGGUUCGAACUAUGAUGUUUUUCUCAGUUUUCGGGGUGAGGACACCCGCCAUAGCUUUACAGACCAUUUAUACGAGGCAUUUAGAUUGAGAGGCAUUGAAGCCUUUAGAGACAGCGAAAAACUCCAACUAGGACAAGAAAUUGCUUCUGAGCUCAUACAAGCAAUAGAAAACUCCCAGUAUGCAAUUGUUGUUUUCUCAGAAAAAUAUGCCGAUUCCAGGUGGUGUUUGGAUGAACUUGCUGAAAUUGUUGAAUGCAAAAAAAAUAGGGGACUUGAAGUGGUGCCCAUCUUUUACCAUGUCGAUCCCUCCCACGUACGGAAGCAGACCGGGCCAUUUGAAAAAGUCUUUGAAAAACAUCAGGAAAAUGACAGUAUCGAUGGAGAGAAGAUCCAGAAAUGGAAGGAUGCUAUGAGAGAAGUGGGGAAUUUAUCCGGCGAGCAUUUACUUCCACAUCAAAGGUUUGAGGCAAAAUGUAUCAAAGUCAUUGUGAAUGAGAUAUCAAAUAAAUUGAGGAAUACAGUCUCAGAAGAUACUGUUGGACUAGUAGGAACUAAAACCCGAGUUGAGAAAUUGAAGUCACACUUAGCUAUGGAGUCUAAUGAUGUUCGCUUUAUAGGAAUUUGGGGGACAGGAGGAAUGGGUAAGACAACUCUUGCUAGAGUUGUUUAUGAUAUGAUUUCCAAUAAAUUUCAAGCUUGCUGUUUUAUUGCUGGGGCAAAAUUUGAAAAAUAUGGUUUAGAUGAGAUACAACAAAUACUUUUGAGGGAACUUUUGAAUGAUAGAGAUUUGAAGAUACACGAUGAUCAUGAGAGAGUUCGCAUGAUUAAAAGUAGGUUACGUAACAAAAAGAUUCUUCUUGUUCUUGAUGAUGUAACUGAAUUAGACCAAUUGAAGAAGUUAGCUGGGGAGAAAUGUUGGUUUGGUUCAGGUAGUAGAGUUAUGAUAACAACAAGAGAUAAGCAUUUGUUGGACUUGCAUGAAGUAAAUAAAAAUGAAAUUUAUGAGGCUGAAGUCUUGAAUCAUGAGGAAGCUCUUCAACUUUUUAGUUUGAAAGCUUUGAAAAUGGACCAUCCACCUGAAGAUUAUGGAAAGCUAUCUCAAGCUUUUGUAGAUUAUUGUAAGGGGCUUCCUUUGGCCCUUGAAGUUUUGGGUUCUUCCUUGUACUAUAGAAGCAUUGGUGAAUGGACAAGUAAAUGGGAAAACCUCACCGAACUUGGUGAAAGAACAAUUUUCAAUGUGCUUCAAAUAAGUUUUGAUGGACUAGAUCAUACAGAGAAGGAAAUUUUCUUACAUAUCGCAUGCUUUUUUAAUCACAUGAAUCAAGAUGAUGUCAUAAAAUUUCUAGGCUAUCUUGGGCCAUGUCCUAGAUUUGGAUUGGCAGUUCUUAGGGAUAAGUCUCUCAUUAAAUUGCAUGAAAAUCAAUUGUGGAUGCAUGAUUUGCUACAAGAUAUGGGCCGACAUAUAGUUUGUGACUGCCAAGACCCUGGGAAACGUAGUAGAUUGUGGGUAUUUAAAGAUAUCGACAAUGUGCUGACAGAAAAUACGGGAACAGAGAAAAUUAAAUGCAUAGUACUAGAGAUGCAUGAACCAAAAAAUGUAGAUUGGAGUCCUGAGGCCUUUUCAAAGAUGCGAAAUCUACAAUUGCUUAAAAUUUGUGGUGUUCAACUUAUGCGUGAUCUCAAACAUCUUCCUACUAGCUUAAUAAUUCUUGAUUGGAGAGGGUACCCUUCAAAAUCGUUGACAUCAAGUUCCCAAUCAAAGAGUUUUGAGAAUUUGAAAUUCAUGAAUCUGAGUGAAUCUCUAAAACUUAUUGAAGCCCCAGACAUCAUUGAAGUCCCAAAUCUUGAGAGUUUGGUUCUUAAAAGUUGUAUAAAUUUAUGUAGGAUUGACCCAUCAAUUGGAAUUCAUAAAAGGCUUACAAUUCUUGAUUUACAAAGGUGCGAGAACCUCACGAGUCUUCCAAGCAAGUUUGAAAUAGAGUGUCUUACGAAACUUAAUCUUAAUGAGUGCUCAAAAAUAACAGAAAUUCCAGAAUUCGGGAGAAACAUGAAAAGUGUACGCAUCAUUUAUUUAGGUUCUACUGCAAUUAAGACACUACCCACGUCAAUUGAGCAUUUGACUAACCUUGUUGAGUUGAAUGUAAAUAGUUGCAAAAAUCUUGUGCAUUUACCUGAUACCAUUUUUAAUUUAAAGUUGGUUAGAGAAAUCUGUCUCCAGUAUUGCCCAAAACUGGAUAGACUGCCAGAGAACCUAGGGAAUGCCGAAAGUCUAGAGAAGUUGGAUUUGUGGGAAACUGCUAUAAGAGAGGUCCCUUCUUCCAUUGGUCUCUUAAAACAUCUUCAUUCCCUAACAUUGACUGAAUGUAAGGGGUUAUCAAUGCCAACAAGUCCUCAUCCCAUCGACUUGCUAUUCUCUUUAUCAAUGCCAAUAAGUCCUCAUCCCAUCGACUUGCUAUUCUCUUCUCUAUCUCUAGCACCUGCGUCUCCUUUGACCCACUUGCUUUUAGGUGACUGCAACCUCAAGGCAAUCCCUAAUGAUAUUGGUUCCUUAGUCUCUUUAGAAUGGUUGGUUCUAGAUGGAAAUGAUUUUGAUUGCCUUCCGGAAAGCAUCAUUCACCUUUCGAAAUUGAAAUGGAUGCACUUGAAUAAUUGCACAAGUCUUCGAUCAUUGCCAAAGCUUCCAUUGAAUAUUGAACUCGUUGAGGCAAAAGGUUGUAUCUCACUGGAAAUGUUACCAGAUCCAUUAAAACCAAGCGAUUCAUUGGAACCAUCUCUCGAUCUUGAAAAUUGCUUUAAAUUGGUUGACAAUCAAAGCUGCAGAGACUGGUUUAUCUCAGGGAUAAAAAAGUCCCUCAAGCUCUCUCCCUCUCUCCCUCUCUCAGUCCUAAAAGAGUCAUAUAACAUUGUUUUUCCUGGAAGUGAAAUUCCUGAGUGGUUUAGCCACCAAAACAUGGGGAAAGAAGUGAAAAUAAAACUACCUUCUUAUUUGUGUAAGAACGUGGGAAUUGCUAUUUGCGUUGUGUGCCCCACGCUUGACUAUUCGUUGACAGCCAAUGGAAAAGAAAUUUCUUUUGAAAGUGGCACAGUUGUUCAGGUUUCAGCAGAUCACCUUCGGCUAGUCUAUGUGACUCCUCAAUUCUUGGACGAGGAAUCAAAUAAAUUAUUGAGGGAAGGUGAGUCAGGUGACGUGAAUGGAUUCAGUCAGAUUAUAAUUAAAAUUGAAACCCAUUAUUCAAGCGUGAAGGUAAAAAAAUGGGGGUUCCAUAUGAUAUACAAGAAAGACAUAGAAGAUCUUGACAUGGAUGUUCUCCAUCAUAAUUUCGACAGUUUGUCAGUGGAAGUGGAACGAAGCUCUGAUUACAAUAUGGCUGGACCCAGUGGAGAAGGAAGCUCUGAUUGUGAGGAGUCAAGUGGGUACGAGGGCUGCGAUUGGCAGUAAUCUAGUGAAAGUGACCUUGAUUAUUAGUCAACAUUUUUCUCCAAGUUGUAAAUGAGACUCCUAACGAUCUGACAACAAAGAACGGCAAGAAAAUGCUUUUGUUGGUGUUUUAAAAGCAUGCUUUUAAUGUGAUUAAAAGUGAGUAAACAUCAAAACUGGAAGUUGCUGCCAAAUCUCAUCUUAAAUUGACAUAUCUUUUUCCUUUGCAUUUUCUUAGCUAGACUUUUUUUUUCCCUAUUCUAUUUUUUCCUCCCCAGGCAUUUAGGAGCUUAACAGAAUAUAUAUAAUGUCAAGUUUGAAUGGAAAGGGUGCUGAAGCCUAUCACAUGUUUUUUCAGAUCAUGACCAAGGUCAACCACCCAUGCCCAUUUCACAUGUUCAUCUUUAUAGUAAUUAGACCCAAGCAGGCAAGCAAGUAUUUAACAAGAUUGAAAAUGGGAGAAGGGUAACUAACAGUUCAAAAAACAAAGAAAAGCCUCAACAACAACAAGAAAAGCAAAUCUAGACCUUUAGAGAGGGUUCAACUGCAACCAAUCCUGUUGGAGGAGAGCUGCAAGGGUAGGGGAUGGAAAUAGCGGGGAUUUAAUUUCUUUUUUAAAAAUAGAGAAUAUGCAUGUCCAUAGCUGCUUGUGAGGAGUCAAGUGAGUGAUUAGUGACCUGAGAUUUUUUCACUGGAAGGAAUUUUGUGAAGUGACCCAGAAGGUUGAUCAACGCUUUUCUCUCUAUCGCCUAUCUGUGAUUUACCACAAGAGAAGCGCGUUUGGAUCUAUUACUAAAUGACCUUAGCCAUCUGAUGCCUUUAUUCAAUGUUGGGAAAUCAUCAAAGACUUCAUCUUCCCAUGUAAUGCUUGUGAAGAAGAAUUGAUCAUGAGCAGGGCAAAACUGUUCAUGCUUAUUUCACAGGAUAAAACAAACCAGAAGACUUGAUCUCCAUAGGCAAGCAACUGUGCAGAAAAGGUUGAAAAAUAGAGAAGCUAUCCUGCUUUGAUUGGACCUGAUUAGAGAGCUGUACUCUCCAGAAGUAGCUGCUCAAAUUUUAGCUAUCUCAAGCUGUGGAGUUACUGAUAAGCUGCUAUGGCCUCAUACAACACACCAUAGUAUGCACAAGCCUAUGAUGCACAACAUGUUGAUUAGAGUAACUACUGGAGAGUUCCAAGGGGAGUGUGUCCAGUUGUGGAGGGAUGGCAAGUGUUGCUGACAGUUGAGGGGCACUGGCAGAGCAGAUGCAAAUGGGGUUGUUUUGCCUAUGUAGCUAAAUCAUGGGCUGGCAGAUAAUUUUUCACCCUGUUCCAGUAAUGCCGUAUGCAAAAAAGUGAAAGCUUACUGUUUGAGAAGCAUAUUUUCCAGGCUUGUUCUGGUUAGUGGAAGAUUGGAGGACCUGUGGAAAAGAAGAAGGUUCCUUGGCAACUUGGUGCGUUGAUUGAAGAACACAAGUGCAAGGAAGUUGGAGAAUGCCAGUGGUGUACAUUUGCUGUGUACAGGAGUCACUAAUGAGGUCUGCACAAGUCUCUAAUGCACAACAAGCAGAUCAAAGUAACUGCAGGAAAGUACCAAGGCAGGUGUAUCAAGUUGUGGAGGGUUGUAGGUGUUGCUGACAAUUUAGGGACGCUAGCAGAGAUAGUGUGAACGGGGUGGUUUUGGCUUUGUAGCCAAAUCAAGUGCUGGCAGGCUGUUGCAGUUCUUCCAUAUGCAACCAAAUGGCAUGCAGCUAGAUGCCCCUGUUCGGAAAGCAUUAACUAAGGCUAUACAGCUUGGUUUUUGUAGACUUGUUUCCAUCAUUUCUAAGAGUGGAGGAACUCCUUUUGAGAAGAAGGUUUCCUUGGCAACUUGCUGUGCUCAUUGAAGGCCACAAGUGCAUAGAAGUAGGAGAACAUUAGUGGUUGUAUAUUUUGUGCAUAAGAGAGUUGCUACAGAUGUUGGGGUCUUGCUGUUGCUUCAAAGUCUUUUGAACAUUUUUGGACUCUACUACCAGCCAACGCUUCAGACAUUAUUUUGUAUUAUAAACCAUACCCAAAAAGAAAAGAGAAGACAAAAAGAAAGAAGUUAAAUUAACACCUUUUCUGGACUAAAGCUAGUUGCAACUACAUGCAAUCAUUAACAUUGUAAGACAUCAUAUAAGAGAUUCAUGUCUUUGCGUGAAAAUCAUAUUCAUCUCUCCUUUUAGAUUCAAAUAAGAGCAAUUGAAUUAACUA